UAGGGAAUCUUCCGCAAUGGACGAAAGUCUGACGGAGCAACGCCGCGUGAGUGAUGAAGGCCUUCGGGUCGUAAAGCUCUGUUGUUAGGGAAGAACAAGUACCGUUCAAAUAGGGCGGUACCUUGACGGUACCUAACCAGAAAGCCACGGCUAACUACGUGCCAGCAGCCGCGGUAAUACGUAGGUGGCAAGCGUUGUCCGGAAUUAUUGGGCGUAAAGCGCGCGCAGGCGGUCUUUUAAGUCUGAUGUGAAAGCCCCCGGCUCAACCGGGGAGGGUCAUUGGAAACUGGGAGACUUGAGUACAGAAGAGGAGAGUGGAAUUCCACGUGUAGCGGUGAAAUGCGUAGAGAUGUGGAGGAACACCAGUGGCGAAGGCGACUCUCUGGUCUGUAACUGACGCUGAGGCGCGAAAGCGUGGGGAGCAAACAGGAUUAGAUACCCUGGUAGUCCACGCCGUAAACGAUGAGUGCUAGGUGUUAGGGGUUUCGAUGCCCUUAGUGCCGAAGUUAACACAUUAAGCACUCCGCCUGGGGAGUACGGCCGCAAGGCUG
rnacentral:rRNA from 1 species